UUCCUCAGGGAUCACAGUAACAGAACAAGGGGUAACGUGUUUAAACUAAACAGGAGAAGUUCAGAUUGGAUAUAAGAAAGAAGUUCUUUACUGUGAGGGUGGUGAGGCGCUGGCACAGG